UGAGAAACCUGUCCCGGUCUCUGGAAUAACAGUUGGAAACAGCUGCUAAUACCGGAUGCCGUCGGACCACCGCAUGGUGGACUGACGAAAGGGUUACCGGAUCGGGGAGGGUCUCGCGGCCUAUCAGCUUGUUGGUGAGGUAACGGCUCACCAAGGCAUCGACGGGUAGCUGGUCUGAGAGGAUGAUCAGCCACACUGGGACUGAGACACGGCCCAGACUCCUACGGGAGCAG
rnacentral:rRNA from 1 species